GAUGAAGAACGUAGCGAAAUGCGAUACGUAAUGUGAAUUGCAGAAUUCAGUGAAUCAUCGAGUCUUUGAACGCACAUUGCGCCCACUGGUAUUCCGGGGGGCAUGCCUGUCCGAGCGUCAUUGCUGCCCUCAAGCACGGCUUGUGUGUUGGGCCUCCGUCCUCCUCCCGGGGGACGGGCCCGAAAGGCAGCGGCGGCACCGCGUCCGGUCCUCGAGCGUAUGGGGCUUCGUCACCCGCUCUUGUAGGCCCGGCCGGCGCUUGCCGACACAUCAAUCUUUUUUCCAGGUUGACCUCGGAUCAGGUAGGGAUACCCGCUGAACUUAAGCAUAUCAAUAAGCGGAGG
rnacentral:misc_RNA from 1 species